rnacentral:rRNA from 1 species
UACGAGGGGGGCGAGCGUUGUUCGGAAUUAUUGGGCGUAAAGGGUGCGUAGGCGGCCAACUAAGUCGGAUGUGAAAUCCCCAGGCUUAACCUGGGAACUGCAUCCGAUACUGGAUGGCUUGAAUCCGGGAGAGGGAUGCAGAAUUCCAGGUGUAGCGGUGAAAUGCGUAGAUAUCUGGAGGAAUACCGGUGGCGAAGGCGGCAUCCUGGACCGGCAUUGACGCUGAUGAGCGAAAGCUAGGGGAGCAAACGGG